rnacentral:rRNA from 1 species
AUGGGGUCGUUAAUCCAUGGUGGUAGAAUGUCCAAGUAUUUGGUUCCACACACACUGGAUGCGAGAAGAUUUGCUGGUUCCGAAGACGCUCCCAUCAGCCUAGACAAUGGCAUACUCGAUGACAUAAUGUUAGAUGAAUUUUCCUCAUAUAGCUCUGGUACUUCCUAUGUUGACUCCAUGUGUGGCAAGCUGAUGGAGACAAGUAAAGGCAAAAACCCAUCAAAUCAUCAAAGUUACUUCACAAACACACCAAGUGGUCGCGGGAGCUUGGCACCCACAAAUGAGUAUCAGGUAAACUUGACUGGUAUUCUUCAUAGGGGUGGAACAUCUCAUGUCCCACCACGUGUGAACAUACCAAGGAUCGACCAACUGACGAACUAUGAGACGUCAUCUAGCGGAUUGUUGCUGCAAAAUCAAUUGCUACCGUUCAUUGGCAACACCACAUCAGUGAAGGGUUUUAGUGAAAAAAUAGUUCCAUUCAACAUACCUAACAACCCAAGCUCUGUAGGGAUGUUGAAUGCGCACAAUAGUACUCCAAUGGCAUCAUCUCAGAUGUUUGGCGGAGGUAGAAUUACUACUGUACGGGAAGGCUUCAAUGAGAAAAUAUCGCCAUUCAACAUAGCAAGCAACAAGCUCAGUAGGGACAAUGCUGAAUGGCAAUUUUGCACAUGGAACUAG